GACAUCGGUAAAUAUCUAGUUGUGGUUCAUUUCUUCCUAGUCAUCGAUAAAUGUCUGGUCGUGGUUCCUUUCUUCCCAGUCAUCGGUGAAUGUCUGGUCGUGGUUCCUUUCUUCCCAGUCAUCGGUGAAUGUCUGGUCAUGGGUCCUUUCUUCCCAGUCAUCGGUGAAUGUCUGGUCGUGGUUCCUUUCUUCCCAGUCAUCGGUGAAUGUCU
rnacentral:lncRNA from 1 species